rnacentral:rRNA from 1 species
AGUGAACGCUGGCGGUAGGCCUAACACAUGCAAGUCGAACGGCAGCACAGUAAGAGCUUGCUCUUACGGGUGGCGAGUGGCGGACGGGUGAGGAAUACAUCGGAAUCUACUUUUUCGUGGGGGAUAACGUAGGGAAACUUACGCUAAUACCGCAUACGACCUACGGGUGAAAGCAGGGGAUCUUUGGACCUUGCGCGAUUGAAUGAGCCGAUGUCGGAUUAGCUAGUUGGCGGGGUAAAGGCCCACCAAGGCGACGAUCCGUAGCUGGUCUGAGAGGAUGAUCAGCCACACUGGAACUGGGACACGGUCCAGACUCCUACGGGAGGCAGCAGUGGGGAAUAUUGGACAAUGGGCGCAAGCCUGAUCCAGCCAUACCGCGUGGGUGAAGAAGGCCUUCGGGUUGUAAAGCCCUUUUGUUGGGAAAGAAAAGCAGCAGGUUAAUACCCCGCUGUUCUGACGGUACCCAAAGAAUAAGCACCGGCUAACUUCGUG